rnacentral:lncRNA from 1 species
UGUCCCUAGAAAACAUUUAUAGCUGUUGUAUAAGGAUAUUGUAGUUUAUCUUAGUAGGAAAUAGUGUGAUGUUUUCUCUAUUCAAAUUCUAACAUUUCGAACCUCAAACAGGUGGGUUCGUUUGGGAAGGAUCUUGAGCUGUUAGACUCACCUGGAAUUUUGCCAAUGAGAAUUAGAGACCAGACAGCUGCACUUAAGCUUGCUAAGCUACCCAUUUAUUCCUUCUAUUCGUUGAUUAUAGGAACAACACAUGCGUUCAUCAUACAAACCUGCAGCUUAUGUGCGAUAGGAUGGACUCGACAUAAAAAAAGUUUCUCUUCGGCUGCUCUGAUUUUGAGCCAAGACCCUUGGGAGUUUGUCUGGCCUCAUUGUCGACAGUGUGCAUCAGUUAGUUAUGACCUCAUCUCUUCAGUGAGAUUUUUUCCUCCAUGAAGGUUCCUCCUUACAUUGGGUUUAUUAUCCUAUUACGCGUGCUUGAUUCUACUUGAUAUUUUUGCCAUGGUGGAUUUCCGUAUUGUUCUGCAGGAUAUCCCUGACGAUCACAGGGAACGGUCCAACCAAAAGAAAAUAGUUGUAUCAAGUAAGCGCAAUAAUUUGUUGAUCUUUGCAAGUAAAGAGGAAGAAAUCAUGUUCCUUACUUUGGUGUGUGUGACAUGAAACAUCAUUUCCUAAGUAAACAAAUUAUUUGCUUGCCAUUGAAAACAAAAAUUUGAGCAAAUAUAUAUUUUAUUGUUCAUGAUCUUUCUUUUUUGUCUGUAUCGAAGUUCAUGCUCACUCAAUAUAUAUAAUGUUGUGAUCGUGUCUGAUUUGUGCAUACUUAAUUUUUUUCUUCAGUUCUGCCUUAUUGAUAAAGAAUGCAUCAUCAUAGUAGUUUUUAUUUAAAAUCUGUAUGGGUUGGUGCAUCUGCAUUCAUAGAAUGAUCUUUUCUUUAAUAUAGCAAGACUGAAUAAAAUUAGAUUGUGCGUGAAGUUUAUUAGAGAUAAUGCACCAUGUAUGACUUCAUAAAUAAAGCCAUCAUGUGCAAGAUCAAGUCACACUGAAGUUAAGUUAAAAGGUUACAAAACAAAGCGGUCUGAUAUGGAAUAUACACUAUUUUCAUUUUGAUUAACAUGAAGUCUGCCAUUAACGUACUUUGUUCUUAACAUUUUUUUACCGAAUGCAUGGGAAUGUCACCAAUAUUUUUUCUGAAGCAGUAUCACCCCUUAUAAUUAUCUUUACCGUUUGUCCUUUGAAUUGCAGCCUGCAUUUUUGCAGCCUGCGAAGCGUAAAUGUUGGACUAUUGUUUCUCCCCUGAUGCACAUGUUUCGCCACACAGACGAUAUAGUGUGUGUGUGUGAUCUCUGGAAUUAGUUUUUAGGUUAUUCUGUGUGUUGAGUACUUCUGUAAUUUUCCAUGGGCGUGUUUCAUAUUUUCUGUGUAUUGUCUAUCAUUCUUUCAAGUGUUUAAUGUUUUUUUUGUAGUUUUUGAUAUUUAGUUUCAGUCAUGUUUCAUUUGUCGCAGACCUACACCUAUUAGGAAGCACAUAGUUUCAUUUUGAUCAUGUUUCUUUUAGUUGUUCAGUGUUUGUUAAUUAAUGUAGCAGAGUAAGCAGUACAUUUUGGCCAUUAGUUAAAUCACUCAUGUCACAUUCAGUUGAUUAGGUUCAGUUUUUGUUCCUUCCUUCUUCGUUCCUUCAGUUUUUUGUUC